UUUCAAUUUUCUACUCUCUUAUAAUUCGCCCCUGAAACGUUCACCCAUCUCCUUCUCAGGUCUCACCUCACUCUUUCCUCUCCUUUCUCCCUCUCCACUCUAUACUCUGCAGCCACCAUUAACAGACAAUAACAGCUAUGCUUCUCUUUCUCCUUCCUUUCCUUUUCCUGCUCUCUCCUUCCCCCUCCUUUUCUCUCAACCAAGAAGGUCUCUACCUCCACCAAGUCAAGCUCUCUCUCUCUGACGCUGACUCCACCCUCUCCUCCUGGUCCGACCGCGACACCACCCCUUGUUCAUGGUUCGGCGUCAGCUGCGACCCUAAAACCAACUCCGUCACUUCCAUCGACCUUUCCAACUCCAACAUAGGCGGCCCAUUUCCUUCACUCCUCUGCCGCCUCCAGAACCUCACUUCCAUUUCCUUCUACAAUAACUUCAUUAAUGAUACUCUCCCUCUUGACAUUUCCUCCUGCCAGUAUCUUCACCACCUCGAUCUCGCUCAGAACUACCUCACUGGUACACUCCCUCACACCUUAGCCGAUCUCCCCAACCUCAGGUAUCUCGACCUCACCGGUAACAACUUCUCCGGAGAUAUUCCUGAGUCUUUUGGUCGCUUUCAAAAACUGGAGGCUAUUUCUCUCGUCUAUAAUCUGUUUGAUGGGAUAAUACCUGCAUUUUUGGGCAACAUUACUACUCUAAAGAUGCUGAAUUUGUCUUACAAUCCUUUUUCUCCGGGUCGGAUCCCCCCGGAGCUUGGGAACUUGACCAACCUGGAGAUUUUGUGGCUCACUGAAUGUAAUUUAGUGGGUGAAAUUCCUGACUCUCUAGGUCGACUCAAGAACCUCAAGGAUUUGGACGUUGCAGUUAAUAAUUUAGUCGGCAACAUCCCGAUUUCACUCACUGAGUUGACUAGCGUGUUUCAAAUCGAGCUCUAUAACAACUCGCUGACUGGUGAGUUGCCACGAGGCUUGGGAAAUUUGACAUCAUUGAGACUGCUUGAUGCGUCUAUGAACGACUUGACUGGGCCGAUUCCUGACGAGUUAUGCCGGUUACCAUUAGAGAGUCUCAAUCUCUACGAGAAUCAAUUCGAAGGGAAUUUGCCUGCAAGCAUUGCGAACUCGCCGCGAUUAUACGAACUCAGGCUGUUUCGUAACAGACUCACCGGCGAGUUGCCCCAAAAUCUUGGCAAAAACUCACCGCUGAGAUGGCUUGACGUGUCAAGCAACAAAUUCACCGGCGAAAUCCCUGCGACUUUGUGUGCGAAGGGCGAGUUAGAGGAGAUGCUAAUGAUAUACAAUUCAUUUUCGGGUCAAAUACCUCAAAGUUUAAGUGACUGCCAGAGCUUGGCCCGAGUCCGCUUAGGGCACAACCAGCUGUCCGGUGAAGUGCCAUCUGGGUUCUGGGGCCUGCCUCAUGUGUACCUUGUUGAGCUUGUUAACAAUUCAUUCUCCGGUCCAAUUGCUAAGACCAUAGCAAGUGCAGCAAAUUUGUCACUCUUGAUUUUAGAUAAUAAUCUUUUCAAUGGAAGCAUACCAGAGGAGAUUGGCUGGUUAGAGAAUCUUGGGUCUUUCUCUGGAAGUGAAAAUGAAUUCAGUGGACCGUUGCCCGUGAGUAUAGUAAAUCUGAAGCAGCUAGGAAGCCUGGAUCUUCAUGGUAAUUUGCUUUCUGGUGAGCUGCCAUCCGGGAUUGAUUCAUGGAAGAAAAUGAAUGAGCUCAAUUUGGCUAAUAACGAGUUUUCGGGUCAGAUUCCGGAGGGAAUUGGAAAGCUGCCUGUGCUUAAUUAUCUUGAUUUGUCUAGCAACCGGUUUUCUGGGAAAAUCCCACUGAGCUUGCAGAACUUAAAGUUGAAUCAGCUCAAUCUAUCAUACAACAGGCUAUCUGGGGAGAUUCCACCUCUGUUUGCUAAGGAAAUGUACAGAAGUAGCUUUCUUGGGAAUCCUGGCUUAUGUGGAGAUAUUGAAGGUCUAUGCGAUGGGAGAGAUAAAGGGAAAGGCGAAGGUGGUGCCUGGCUGCUGAAGUCCAUUUUUAUACUUGCUGCUCUUGUUCUUGUUAUUGGUGUGGUUUGGUUCUAUUUCAAGUACAGGACUUUCAAGAACGCAAGAGCUAUUGACAAGUCAAAAUGGAUAUUAAUGUCGUUUCACAAAUUGGGUUUUAGUGAAUACGAGAUCUUGGCAUCUCUUGAUGAGGAUAACGUAAUAGGAAGCGGGUCGUCAGGGAAAGUCUACAAGGUUGUGCUUAGCAAUGGCGAAGCAGUUGCGGUGAAGAAGCUCUGGGGAGGGGUCAAAAAGGAGAGUGAUGAAAGCGACGUUGAGAAAGGUCAGUUCCAGGACGAUGGGUUUGAAGCAGAGGUUGAGACUUUGGGUAAGAUUAGGCAUAAGAACAUUGUUAAGCUAUGGUGUUGCUGCACCACUAGAGACUGUAAACUUUUGGUAUACGAGUACAUGCCUAACGGUAGCUUGGGUGACUUGUUGCAUGGUAGUAAGGGAGGUUUGCUAGAUUGGCCAACAAGGUAUAAGAUCCUUUUAGAUGCAGCUGAGGGGCUUUCCUAUUUGCAUCACGAUUGUGUACCUCCAAUUGUGCAUAGAGAUGUUAAGUCCAACAAUAUUUUGUUGGAUGGGGAUUUCGGAGCUCGGGUGGCUGAUUUUGGUGUAGCCAAGGUGGUUGAUUCCACCACCGGAAAGCCUAAGUCCAUGUCUAUCAUUGCAGGGUCUUGUGGUUACAUUGCUCCAGGUUAGUAAUCAUCCUUCUUCUUAACAAGUUUUGGGUUUUUAUGGGUUGCAAAAUUGGAAUUGAUUUGUGGUGAUCUUUUUGAAAUAUUCAUCUCAUUUGAAUUUUAAUUCUGUUUAAAUACCCUGUAAUUAGUGAUCAUGUGCAUACUUUUCUUUAUCAUCUACUCGAAAAGUUAUGCCUUGGAGCUAGCUACUGAGUGUGCUUUACCAGUUAAGGCCUGGCUGAUUUGUCCUUUUUAAUAUGCACUCUAAUUAUCCUGGAGAUAUUAAUUUAGAUAUUUGAUUUCCAGUUCAUUUAUAAAUACUGCCAAUGCAUAAUAAGUGUUCAUAGAACUUUAGUUGAAAAGUUGGAGUACAAUUAGCAUCUGUGAUGUAGAUUCCUUGCAAGCUUUUCUUGCAAAUAUAUUGUGGUUUCUUUUCCAUCUGUAAUAAUUUCAACUGAAUUUAAAAAUAAUUCCUUUUUUGUGUUCACAUAUUGCAGAGUAUGCUUACACACUUCGAGUGAAUGAAAAGAGUGAUAUCUACAGCUUUGGUGUGGUUAUUCUGGAGUUGGUCACAAGGAAACUUCCGGUUGAUCCAGAGUUAGGCGAGAAGGACUUGGUGAAGUGGGUAUGCACCACUCUAGAUCAGAAAGGAGUGGACCAUGUUAUUGAUCCCAAAUUGGAUUCUUGUUUCAAGGAAGAGAUAUGCAAGGUCCUCAACAUUGGCAUUCACUGUACUAGUCCUCUACCCGUCAACCGUCCGUCCAUGAGAAGGGUGGUAAAAAUGCUGCAAGAAGUUAGACCAGAGAACAUCCCCAAGACUGCUAAAAAAGACGGGAAAUUGACACCCUAUUACUAUGAAGAUGCCUCAGAUCAUGGAAGUUUAGCUUGAGAAUUACAAUAAAUUAAAUUUUGGUUUCCAACUUGCGAUUUUGAAGGAGUUGACACACAGACAAGCUCCAAUUUUCUUGUUCUAGGGCCAUAACUUCCCAGUUUGCUUUACAAAAUGAGGAAAGAGAGUGAAAAAUGAGAAGUAAGGAAUUUGUUAAGUUUUUUAAUGAGAUUGUUGUUAAAUUCCUUUACGAUGUAAAGUAAUUUUUCCUGAAAUUCUGCAUAAAAUGGCGUCCUGCCCUUCGUGUAAGAUCAUUGUUGAAAGUGAUGCUUUUACAGAGUUUACUGCUCUAAUGCCUCAACUUGAUUUUUCUUGAAAAUGGUGGGGCUUUUCUUGGCUGGCACUAUUGAAAUCUGCUUUUAUGGAAUGGGAUAUAGCAGCAAUACGGAA
rnacentral:misc_RNA from 1 species